GUUGACAAAAGGAAAUUAUAUUAUAAAGUUGACUUUCUGUAUUUUAUUAAUUGCUAGAAAAAGACACAAAUGUAGUACAAUUGCCAAUGAAACUAAUGAAAAAUAGUACGUGGACAUAUUAAACUCUGAUUCAACAUACAGUUUAAUAAUUCAAAUCGUGUGGUUGGAGUAAGUUAUACAGAGCCCCGGUGUGAAAAAAUGUGCACCAAUAAGAGCGAGUAAACCAAUGUCGUUGUUCAUGUUUAAUGUAUAAAAAAACAUUUAUAUGAAUGACGGGAUCUAACAAGAACAACAGAAUAUCAGGCUUCUGCACGGGGACAGGUUAUUUUGGUCUAUAUUUUCUAAAGUUGUAAAUAAAUAUGUUGAUGUAUUGUAUUUUAAAUGUUUUACAGCUUUUUUUGGUACAUUUUUUUUUAAUUCAAGUGCUUUUUACAUGAUUAUCCUUUUACAUAAAAAAAUAUCAGUAGUGCACUUUUCUUUGCUGUAAUGACAAUUUACUCGGCCUACAUAAUUCGAGAUUCUCUGUGAUUUAGUCACUAAAUAACUAGGGAAAUUACCCUGUGAAUAUUUAUAAUUGUUGGCUAGUUUUAUUGUUGAAAGUUUAUACCAACACUUUUUGCAUAUAUGUAGCCAAUAUUAAAAAGUAGAUGUGGUAUGAUUGCCAAUGAAACAACUAUCUACAAGAGACCAAAAUGACACAGAAAGUUACAACUAUAGGUCACAUUACGGCAAUCAACAAAGUGCAAAGUCAGUCAUAAAAGACCCCGAAAUGACAAGUCACAUGAUUUUCGCACGAAUCUGAAACAUUAAUUACAUUUAGUAAGUUGUCUUGGAGUCUGGUUUCAACAUUCUGAUGGAGCUGUCAUGUGAUGGAAAAAAAGUUGUGAGUAAAGUCCUCAGUCAAAUUUCUAACGACAC
rnacentral:lncRNA from 1 species